AAUACAUGCAGUCGAGCGGACAGAUGGGAGCUUGCUCCCUGAUGUUAGCGGCGGACGGGUGAGUAACACGUGGGUAACCUGCCUGUAAGACUGGGAUAACUCCGGGAAACCGGGGCUAAUACCGGAUGGUUGUUUGAACCGCAUGGUUCAAACAUAAAAGGUGGCUUCGGCUACCACUUACAGAUGGACCCGCGGCGCAUUAGCUAGUUGGUGAGGUAAUGGCUCACCAAGGCAACGAUGCGUAGCCGACCUGAGAGGGUGAUCGGCCACACUGGGACUGAGACACGGCCCAGACUCCUACGGGAGGCAGCAGUAGGGAAUCUUCCGCAAUGGACGAAAGUCUGACGGAGCAACGCCGCGUGAGUGAUGAAGGUUUUCGGAUCGUAAAGCUCUGUUGUUAGGGAAGAACAAGUACCGUUCGAAUAGGGCGGUACCUUGACGGUACCUAACCAGAAAGCCACGGCUAACUACGUGCCAGCAGCCGCGGUAAUACGUAGGUGGCAAGCGUUGUCCGGAAUUAUUGGGCGUAAAGGGCUCGCAGGCGGUUUCUUAAGUCUGAUGUGAAAGCCCCCGGCUCAACCGGGGAGGGUCAUUGGAAACUGGGGAACUUGAGUGCAGAAGAGGAGAGUGGAAUUCCACGUGUAGCGGUGAAAUGCGUAGAGAUGUGGAGGAACACCAGUGGCGAAGGCGACUCUCUGGUCUGUAACUGACGCUGAGGAGCGAAAGCGUGGGGAGCGAACAGGGAUUAGAUAC
rnacentral:rRNA from 1 species